CUACGGGGGGCUGCAGUGGGGAAUAUUGCACAAUGGGCGCAAGCCUGAUGCAGCCAUGCCGCGUGUGUGAAGAAGGCCUUCGGGUUGUAAAGCACUUUCAGCGGGGAGGAAGGCGGUGAGGUUAAUAACCCCAUCGAUUGACGUUACCCGCAGAAGAAGCACCGGCUAACUCCGUGCCAGCAGCCGCGGUAAUACGGAGGGUGCAAGCGUUAAUCGGAAUUACUGGGCGUAAAGCGCACGCAGGCGGUCUGUCAAGUCGGAUGUGAAAUCCCCGGGCUCAACCUGGGAACUGCAUUCGAAACCGGCAGGCUAGAGUCUUGUAGAGGGGGGUAGAAUUCCAGGUGUAGCGGUGAAAUGCGUAGAGAUCUGGAGGAAUACCGGUGGCGAAGGCGGCCCCCUGGACAAAGACUGACGCUCAGGUGCGAAAGCGUGGGGAGCAAACAGGAUUAGAUACCCUAGUAGUC
rnacentral:rRNA from 1 species